rnacentral:rRNA from 1 species
GAUCCUGGCUCAGGACGAACGCUGGCGGCGUGCUUAACACAUGCAAGUCGAACGGAGCACCCUUGAAUGAGACUUCGGUCAAAGGAAAGGAAUGCUUAGUGGCGGACUGGUGAGUAACGCGUGAGGAACCUGCCUUUCAGAGGGGGACGAACAGCUGGAAACGGCUGCUAAUACCGCAUGACGCAUUCGGAUGGCAUCAUCUGAAUGCCAAAGAUUUAU